CCAAGGCCAAGAAAGCACUGGCGCUGGUGUCUCCUUCCUUCCUUCUCUCCCUUUCCUUCUCUCUUCUGCUAUACUCCAAUGGUGGCAUGCGCUCCUGGCGCCAAUUUUCCCUGCAUGUCCUGCAGACCUUAUUUUACAUUUAACAGCCCACCAGUGGGCCAUGGCCCAUGGCUUGGGAACCACUGUGGAGGGAACACUCCAGUUGUGGUUGGUGCCUCCUGUGUCAGUGUAUUGGUGAAUCUCUUGUGGCUUUUAGAUUGAAAGUUAAAGAAGCUUCCCAGGGUCCUGAAUCCUAUUCUUCAAUAGAUGUAGCAUGAUAGAUAGUAGGCAUGUGUGAUCGAUAAAACAAUGUUUCAAAAGUCAUUACAAAACUGGGGGGCACUGGCAUUUUGUUUCUAAAGUGUUUCUACAGUAUAGUUAGUAAAAAUGUUGUUACUACAAUGAGAGUAGCAAAAUUUUGCUACUUUUUUGUUAAGUAAUUGAACAAGUGGGGAAACUUCAGGGGCUGAUUUCUCCUUCAUUUUUAUGCUAUCGUGAUGAAACUUGCUAUAAUUGUUCCAUACAUCUUCCACUGUUAGCCGACCAAAUUUCAGACUGUUACACUCAUCAACUAAUUUUAGGGGAAUUUUUGAUUUUUUUUUUUAGAAAUAAUAUGUUUUUUUUAAAAAACUACAAGAGAUAUCUACUUGAAUUUUAUAUACAAUGCACAAGAUAACCAGAGCAUCAAUCCCCAGAAGUUUCAGAAAGAUUCACACAUCUAUGGAUUUUGGGGGAUUUUAAAAAAUUUAAACAAAAACCAUUUAUUCUCCAAAAAAGCAACAAUAGCAAUUCCCAUGAAUGCCUGUCUGUCUAUAUGACACACAAUUAUCCACAUAACUUCAACUUAACACAGAUUUAUAUUAAUACUUACUAACUUACUUUAGUCCUCUUUGCAAAUUCAGUCAUUUCUGGCUGGGGUCACUGGGCUUUCUGAUGCUGAGCAUUGAAUUCUGGGAAAAGUAGUUUUCCCAGAAUUCUGGGAGAAUGCUUUUUGCAUUCUCUGUCACAGGGGGCCUCGCCUUCGCAAACUACAAUUUCCAGAAUGCUGUGUUCUCAGUCUCCAGCCCAACUCUGUAAGUCCCACCUCCAGCUGCCUUUCCUUAUGGCGACUAGGCCAAAAAAAAAAGCCUUGAUUUUAAAAAGAUGUGAUGUUCUCCUAGCUUUUUGCGUUUUGUACUGGAAUAUCCUGGUUCCUGAGAUGAUCUCAGACCACCUUCUCCCUCUCCUCUUUUUUUGGACUGUUACAGACAUUUUCAUAUCAAAUCAUGACAGCCACUGACUGUCAUGUCAGGUGGUGUCCUCUAAAAAAGGUUGGGGGUGAAUUAUUAUUAUUGUGGAAAUAAUGUUAAAAUCAUGAUUAACCAGUGAUUGUGAAUAUGAGACGGUUACCUGGUAUGUAUAUGUCAAACAAACAAACAUUCACAGAUUUCCCAUCCAUAGAUUCUUUAUUCUUUAGCCCUGGAAAUUAGCAUACUUCUAGUAUCAGUAGGAACUGCAAAGUGGAUAUUCUUUAUAUGACCCUGAUUUUGAAAUGUUGCUGGCAUUGCACCAAAGGACCAUGCAGCAGAAUAGCUCUCCUGCCACAACAAAUAUUAUCUGUCAGAGGGACACCAUGGUUUUCAAAAAGCACUUUGCUGAUGGAAUAUGGCUUGCUUCAAUCUGGCUAUUUAGAUAAGAUAAUCUCUUGCAAUGCUUCUCUUAAUCACUAGCUCCUAUUUGCAAUAAUCAAGCUGGAGGAGGGGUGUCUACAAAUUCGUGUAGAAAUAUUCAUUUGAGUGUGAUCUAUCACACAUCAUUGUUUCAAGUAGCAAAUGAGCUUUGUUUUCAUUCCAUCUGCAAAUGUUGCACAUUUGAGUACCUAAAACAUCUAAGAUCCUUAGUUAUGUAUAUUUAUCAGAAUAAUGUCUCCCCUCAUGCCCUACAAACCUGAUUUACUAAGCAGCUGUUGCUGCAACUAAUGUAAAAUGGUUCUCCUACUGAUUGGGGCACCACAUACUGGGGCUUCCACCUCCCUCCAGCAAUCUCUGGUGGGACAAUCAGAAGCAAGAUCCCAGUUGCACUUCCUCCUUGCUCUGGAGAUUGUGGUGGAAGUAAAAGCAUCAGUAUGCAGUGCCCCAAUAAUAGGAGAACAGAUGUCCACUGCUUGCAGCUGCUGCCACAAUUGUUGAAGGAGUUCAACAAUUGUGGUAAUAAUAUCAUGAUCAUAAAUAUAUCCGGACCAUGAAUACUCUAAGUUACACAUCUGUAACUGUAAUAGUAAAUUCCAGCCAAUAUUUCACAAAAAGAAAUACAAGGUUCAAAUGAACGUUAAACUAAGAGCAAUGCAGAGGAAGGCUGAUUUGAAGCGCAAUUUUUUCUUAACUGCAUAGAAUGAGGAAACAUGGUUAGCGUAGAAAAGCAGAGUUUUAGAAUUACAGGGUCAGCCCUGGAUCAGGUAGCUUUCCUCCCAAUAUGACAAGGUUGAUGCAGCUGACCAAGGCCUGAAUCAUAGUGUGGAAAGACAUUUUGUUGGGUUGCAGAGCUGUAUUAGCCUGAAUUUCCUUAUUCUCUUUAGUCAUCCCUUCUGAAGCCUUCUUCCAUAUAAGCAGGAGGAGUUGUAUUGGCCCAGAGGGAAUGCUCUUUGCUCCUCCUUGCUACAAAAUGAGUAUCAUAGUAGUGUCAGUGAAUAAAUUGGAAGUGUCAGGAUAGCAAAGAUAAUGCUAAAAACCGUAAUAUUUCCUCUAGCAUUGUGCAGAUGACACAUUCAGAAAUUGCAGGGGAGUUUGUAUUGGAGGAAUGUAUGUGUGUCUUUCUUAUAAUCAUCCGCAGGCCAUGAAGAGGAACGAAGAUAAUUUAGUCCUUCAUUCCACCCCCAGCCCCAGUAUCCCUCCACUCCCCACAAUCCUACGGAGGGUUUAUUAUUGAAAGCAUUUGACAACGCUUUGCUUCAAAAGAAUAAAAAGCUUUGUCUCCUGUCCAAUAAUGUCCUUCUGGCCCAAACUCAGGCUUUGGAUGCAAUCCACACCAUUCUCUCAUGUCAAUGUCAUUUCUGUGAGACAGGGAAUCAUAACAGAAUUCACAGCAAGGGAGCUGACACCAACCUUCCUCAACCACAAAUCAGAUAGCCUGGUCAUCAUUAUGCCAAUGGUGUUUGUUUCCAUCUUUAAGCAAAUACAAGGCUAUUCUAUGUGCCAGUCUCAGGAGUGCGGGUGACUUCUCCCUGCCCUUGGCUAUCGUGUGUUUAAUUUAAGAAACGUGCCCGUAUACUACGAUGGCCAUUGUUUACCGCUGUCAUUGUUAUCAAAGCAAGUAAAGACAUUAGAAUCUGUCCUGUCACUGGGUUUUAUUUUCUUCAUGUCAGAAGACAAUGAGACUCUCCACAUCCAGUCCUUGUCUAAGGACACUUUGCAGAAAAGGACUUUCAUGUCUUAUAUUUGGCAAGCACUGACAAGGUCUCAUGGGCUUUUUUGUCUCAGUGCUUCUUGAACAAAAUGUGGGUACCAUAUCUCCAGAAGAGGAGUUGUGUGGGAAAUGGUUCAGAGUAAAUUUAAGAGAAUAAAGUCUUCAAAUGGGAGACUAAAGCAUCACAAUUUUACGAGUGAUGAUAUUUUUUUCAUUACAAAGAUGGGCAAUUUGUAUCACCUCAAAUAUUUUUUAAAUGAAAGCCACUCUAUGGGAGUACCAUGGACCCCAGAACUUGGUUGAGGCACCCCUGAACUCAUCAGGCAAAUUGGACCACCUAGAUUCUUAUGUAGCUGGGCCCUAUGAGGAAUUGUCAGAAGUGCACCUAAAGCAUGAAGCACCAAAAUAUUAAGAAAACCAAAAGAAAUCAAGUACUUCCAGGAAUAAUGAAGACUUCAUGACACCUUUGCACACUUGGGGCUAAGUUACACUGAACAUAUGGAAGGAACUUCUAAGAAAUAUUAACCAUGACCUCCAGAUCCCUUGGUCAGAUCACUCUCAGUGUGAAAUUUUAUGCAAUGGUUCUGAUACGAAAUAAAUAAAUGCUUUUAUUUUUUGCAUCUUAGAUGCACCAUCUUAUACUUAUGUCCACUUAUUUUUAUUUUCCUGCUUUAGAGUCAUUUCCCCCAAUUUAGAGAGAACCUUUUGGAACAUGUUUCCAUUUCUUUUUAUUUACUAAAUAGCUGUCAUUGGUAAGUAUGACCACUUCACUAUAUACUCCUAUUGCAAGUUCAAGAAUCAGGAUUUUCCAUGUCUCAGAUGUGAUAGAUAUAUAUGUUUUACACUUUCUUUUGAAAGUAAUAUGUGUGUUUGAUUCUGUUAUCUUCUAACUGUAACAUGUCUUCUGCAUAGCUUUUGCUUUGAAAUAGUGUUGUCUAUGGGUGGAUGUUUUCAUCCUUUUGUAAAAAUAUACCUGGAAUAGGCAACUUUAAUAAUGAUCUUUCUGCCAAUGUUGAGAUCCCCCCCCCCCCCAAAAAAAAUACAGGGUUUCUGAGAAAUAUGCCUAUCACGGUCUUCUGAAAUGUCACAAAGUCAUGAGUUCUCCAGGGCUGUCUGGAUUCUCCAGAGUAAUUUAUCAGGCUUGAUGUUAAAUAAAUCUGUGAUGGAGAAGAAAAAAUGAUGUUGUUUCCCCAAAUACUUUGGUCUACAACAUUCUUAAAAUGCAUAAGAGAAUGUAGACAAAUGUUAGCCUGACUUAGGUCCACAACAUCUGAUGAAGUGGUUUGUAGUCCACAACAGUGUAUGCCAAAUAAUAUUUGAUGCCAUUUAAGGUGACCCUAGACUCUGUUGUUAUUUUUUUGUUUUGUCCAACUAACACAGUUGCUGCUUGGAAAUGUUUUUCAAAGAUUAUCUCAGUUUUCUUUGUUUAAAAGUACAGAACAUAAAGAAUCGAUCACAUGAAUUCUGAAUAGAAGUGUCUGACUUCCACGACAGGUGAUUUGAGAUGAACAUUCAAAUAACUUCUCAGGAGCAGAAUUCCUUUUCACAGAACAAUCACACCUCAAAUGUAAUGGUCUCAGACAGUAUGAAUCACGAGAAACUAUCAUAGUUCUGAUAUAUUAAUCUAACUUCUCAUUUUAUUUUUGGCACAGUAAACUUGCCAUGAGGUGAUAUGGCAUGGCACAUGUUUCAUGUAAAUUAGUUUAUCUGUUCCUUGGGAGGGGGACUCAAUCAAAACUAACAUGUAUUUAAGCAAUGUAUGUGUAAGAGACUGUGAAACAAAUUACAUAUUUUAUCCCUAAAUCUCAUGUGGUAAAAUUGCCCCAUUUAAAAAAAGCCGCCGCCACCAACAGGAGGGGUGGGAUUGUUUUGUGGCUCAAGUUUUGAUAAGCAACAGUCUUUUUAUCAGCUACACAAAGCAGACUGAUAAAAAUAAAAGUUCUUUUGCCAUUUUCACUUGAGUACUGGUGAUAUAAUGAAGAUGUACAGUAUGUAGCUAAAUUGAAGGCAAUUUACCUUUUGUAAAGGGAAAAUCAUGCCUAAUCCUUAUUCAUACCAUAUUGGGUACCAUUGUGCUCACUUUUCUUCCUUUGGUUAUGGAUCUCUCACCCUGUGGCUUAAUUGAGGAAAAUCCCCACAUAUUGCUGCAUAAUAAUUUCUUGCAUUUUAAUGAAGGCGUAGCUCCCUUAUGAUAACUGUGAGUAUAUCUCAUCCCGUCUCAUGUGAAUGAUAUUUUGUGUUGAAUAAAUGUUGAAGAAGCAGGAGUGCGUACACUGGAGGGGGUGGGGGUAGUGGAAGAGACAGCUUAGCAGGGAGUUGCUAACUAUAUACCGUUCUGGACAGGAGCCUUAAGGGCAAAACACAGUGCUUGUCAGUUCAUGUUUGCCUGGUCUCAGAGAGAAGAGGCAUUUUCAGGUUUUGCAUCAUGAUAGCCAUUGCAAGCCGAACAGAGGCACUUUCACGCACAGGCCAGAUGCGAGCAUGGACACUGAGGAGAGGGACUAACAUAUGCUUCCUUGCAUUUUCUCCAGACAAUGAGACACUUAGUUCUCUCAGAAAUGCAAGUCAGAUGAUAGGCUUUUAGGACCAAGCAAAUGCAUCUCGGAUGCUCAGUUUCCAGCAAAGGGUUCAUGUCAUCAAACAAUAGACUCACUCUUAUCCUGUAUGGAGCUGUUCUUUCUUUUCAAACGCAAGUUGAUUGAAAUGUGUAUUUAAGAUUAUUCUUCCCUAUCCUCCACUCAGCCAGCCUGCUUGUGUGGACAUGGUGUGGCUUAGGCAAAAUACACUUUUGGUGCCACUUUGGGAAUACAUUGGUGAUAGUCUUUCAGCUUUAGUCAACCUUUGGAUGAACAAUUACAAUGCAUGGGGCUAGAGAGUGGGGGAAGCAGAUGCAAAGUGAAAAAAGCAGGGCUCCUAAGAAACCUAAGCCCAGUUUCUUGGUUUGCUUUCUCCACUGUGUUCUGAUUUAAACAGAUGAAAUGUACAAUGUACAGCAUCCAAAUAAAGAUGCAUUCCAUUUCAUGCUAGGAAUAUAGAAAUCUUUUAAAUUUUCUUACAUUUUCAGUAGAUUCUUAAAAUUGGAAAUUCAUGUCUUGUUCCCAAUAAAGAAAUAUUUGGUUUUCAGUAAAAAAAUCUUUACAAAAAGUGAUUUGACCUGAAAUUCUCACUUAUCCUUACUCAGCAAUAACCCAGACUGAAUUCAAUACUAGUGGGAAAGUGCAUUUGGAACUGCAGCCUCCGUUACCCAAUUAUGCAAUUCUCACCAACUGAAAUAAAUUUCACCCCAGUCUGUAGACAAAUUCAAUAGGUAUCGUUAUUUCCAGCACAGAGAAGACCACAUUGCCCUUGUCUGCCACAACAGUGUGACUGAUGAGCAGAGGUGGAAGCCCUCAUUCAAUACUAACAUGGUUUAGUAUACUGACGAUUUAGAUUCUACGAACUAGCACUUGACAUCGAAACUAUUCUACUGCUUUCUCCUCAAUAGGUCCCCAAAUCUAGGAGCCUCAGUUCCAUCUAUUACACUUCUUUUCCUCACCCCACAAUUGUGCUAUUCAACUGACUUGAUUGAGGUUGUAUUUUCAUGAAAUAGUCAGGUUAAUUUAAAGCCCCCACAAUGGAAGCCUAUAUAUAAAAAGAAUCCAAUAAAUCAGAGGUAUAAAUAAACAGGUAAAUGUAUUCCUUUUUUAAAUGACCCUGAGAAAAAUAAAGUAAAAUAGUAAAUUCAUCUGUUUUUAAAGGGUUACUUAACAGUGGAAUCCUAUAUGUCUACUCACAUUUUGUGUUCAAAUAGUAGUACAUCUAAGCAGUGAACAAUGUGGGGUUCAUUUUUAAAUAAACAUGCAUAGGACUGCACUUUGACUAAUCUACCCAUUAAGAGUCUGCUACCAAUCCACAUACUUCACUCUAAUUUCUAGAUGUGGGAUCAAUAUAUACAGAAGGCUUCUUUUCAGAAUUCCAUAGCUGCCCAAUGUCUUAUAUAAGUUGCUCUUAACUGAAGAGAAGCUGUCCUAUCACAGAAUAUUACAUGGAAAGAUAUGGAUAUGGGAAGACUGGAGGCAAGCUGAAAUUAGUCUAACUUCAAAUUCUGGAUAAUUCAAUUAAAGUUGAAAACACUGAUCUACAUACUUUGGAUAGAGAAAACAACAGUAAGGUAACUGAACUUACCUAAGCGGAAGAAUAGACAAGCAACACAAGAUAGCAAACAUACUGAGGGUACAUCUAAACUGACUCUAUAAUGCAGCUUGGAAUUAGUUUAGGAGGAACUGGUUUUGCUGCAUGGGUGAUUGGAUUGACAGGUCUGGAACUGGUUUGAGGCCACGUAGGUCAGUGGUCCGCAACCUGUGAGUCCCCAGAUGUUUUGGCCUUCAACUCUCAGAAAUCCCAACAGCUGGUAAACUGCCUGGGAUUUUUGGGAGUUGUAGGCCAAAACACCUGGGGAUCCACAGGUUGAGAACCACUGAGGUAGGUGAUUACGUUCACCACAGAACUUGGACUCAAACUGCUGUACCAUUCCUCCCCCUCCAUUUCCAGGAAAAAUGUGCAUCAGUGCUCCUGAGGCCUAGGUGGAAAAAGGGAAAGUGACAGGUAUCAGAGCAUUUCUUGGAAGCCCCCCCCCCAAAUUCUGGAGUCUAUAAUUAGCUUCAGAAAGGGCGGUUGUCUACAAUGCACUCCACAUUUUGCAGAGCCGAUUUCACUUUGGAUCUAAGAUACACUAGCAUCUGUUGCAGUUCUUUAUUUGGCUGACCUCAGACUUUCUUGGGACUUCAUCACAUCAGCAAAUUUACCCGUUCUACAACAUGUUCACCACAAUUCGGGAAGAAGCCAGACAGAUCUCAUCAAACUAUGUAGAGCUAUUUCCAGUGGGGCUCCAUCCCCAAACUGUGGUGAAAGUGUCAUAGGAUGAAACAAUGAGGACAUGGGAGUUUUCCCAUAUUGUUGUUGUCAGCAAUGGGGUGAGCACAGGGAGAAGUCAAGCAACAAUGCUUUCCUCCGUGGGAUGUGGAAGGCAGCGAUGUAGGGCAUGGAGUGGGGUGAUGGAUUCCCCUGCUGCCACCUGGAUUAACCAUGCUGCAUGGUGAAUUCCCCCGCUGUCACCCAUGCCAGGCAACUUCAUGGGAUCAGGUCCUUAAUGCACUGUAUACUCUCAAAUGCAUGCUGCAGUGCACAUUGGUAGCAUGCCCUUCAUAGCAUCUGUGGUUUUGAGUCAUCUCAAAGCCACAUUAUAGUGUCAGUGUAGAUAGAGCCUGAAAGACAGAGUCUAUUUUGCUAGGUCAGUCAAACCACUGACAUUAAAAUGUACAUGUAAAAAAUUUGUGAUACUGUAAUUCUUCGAUAGGAUUCCAGCCAUAGUGUGUGUUUGCCCCACUGGUUUCACACUGUAUGUCACAAAAACUUGUACACAUCGAGCAGAUAAACUAGAAGGGCAAUAGUUUCUGACAUGAAAUUGUGGCAUCUUACAAAAACACAUAGCAGCUCACAGUGUCACUGCUCGGAUUCUACACAUCGUUUUCUUGUUCAGAGGGAUCUGAAAAAAAGUGUCUUGUUAACCCAAUAGUUUAGCUAUCAAAGUUGCACUGAUAAGCACUAUCUAAUGACUGUUUCUGGCAACAGGGAGAAACUCCCAACUAAUUAUGUUACAUAUGCUGUUAACCACUUAUAAUGUGGGAAAAGCCAGAGACAUCAAAGAAUUUCCUUUCUCUUCUUUGUCUUUAAUGAUCCAGCAAAGGAAUAGGUGGAAUUAUGGACAAAAGAUAUCUGAGGAGAUCUAUGGUAGAAAGCUGAUAUCUUCCUUUUGUUAACCCUAAGCAAAAGAAAGGUCAUGCGCCAUUUUCUAUUGAUUUUACCCUAGAUGCAAGUAAUCAAAGGACAGAAAGAUUCCUGAAAGAGAUUUUCUUUCGAAGGCAGAGUAGACCUGAGGAAGUUACUAAACUAAUUAAAGUAAUUUUUGCCUACCCAAUAAUAGCAGGCAUACCAUAAUAGUUAGAAAGCCUCUUCAAAAGCCAUUAAGUGGAAAUUUAUUUUGAAAGCAAGCGAUGUCCACAUUCUAGGAGGUAACUGAAAUUCCAAUGGUCUUCUUUGGGGAAAAACACAUGAUGGAGUUCAAUAUGAGGUAAGUUCCAUUGCUUUCAAUGAGAUCUACACUCAAGGGGUUACCACUGCAAUACCAGCAACUUCUUGGAAUUUCAACUUAUGUGCUAUUAUAAAACCAUGGGCAGGACAGGAGGAAUUAACCCACUACUACUAGAUUCUUGGGCAAUUUUCCCUUUCUACUUGUAGUUUCUGUGCAACUGAAAACGCUGUUUUUCCAAGCUCCUAAACUGUACAGAUAACAUAGGGUAGUUAGAUUAAAAUCCUAAGUAUCCCUUUUAAGCUGAUUUACAGACAUUUACUUUUAGUUUUAAAGACUUCAGUGCCUUUUAUGUAGCAAAUAUUCCAGUUUACCCUUUUUAUAUACUGUAUAUACUCAAGUAUAAGCCUAAUUUUCCAGCCCUUUUUUAGGGCUGAGAAAGCUCCCCUUGGCUUAUACUCGAGUGAGGGUCCUGGCUAGCUUUUAUUCAGGUCGGCUUAUACUUGAGUAUAUAGGUAUUCAGAGUUGGACAGUCUUAUCUUAUUAAAGUCUUAUUAUUAUCUUAAAUUACGGUUUUAUAUAAAUAUUCAAAGAUAUUUAACCUACUGAUGCCUCAAAUAAUGCAAUUUUAUUGAUAUCUAUUUUUAUUUUUAAAUUUGACCCAUAGCUGCUGCAUUUCCCACUCUCGUCUUAUACUCAAGUCAAUAAGUUUUCCCAGUUUUUAUGGUAAAAUUAGGUGCUUCGGCUUAUAUUCGGGUCGGCUUAUACUCGAGUAUAUACGGGAUAUAUAUAUAUAUAUAUAUAUAUAUAUAUAUAUAUAUAUAAUUGGAUGUACAUGUGCGGCAUAAUUAUAAAGAGAUAAUUUUGAUGGUAUGCUUUGAAGACUGGUGGUACAGUCCUCAGUAAUUGUAUUCAGAAGUAAAUCCUGUUGCGUUGAGUGUGGCUUUUUUCUAAGUAAAUGUGCAUAGUUUUGUGGUCUUGGUUAUGGCAUUUUACUGACUUAAGCUGCUAUGAGUUUGUUUGCUUAAGGUGAGAUAAAAAUGUGCUUUAAAGGAAAUCAAAUAUAUAGCCUACCAAGAGCAUCCAUCCCCAAAGGGGAAGGGUGAAAGAUUCAAAGUUCUGUUCUUUAAACUCAAGCAACCUGUCCUGGGACUCAAGCAACCAAAGGGUUUAUUUUUCCUGCAUGAACUUGAUGGAGUAUUAAUUGAAAUCCCAUCUCUGUCUCUUCUCUGAUAGACAAAGUUUAAGUUAUAUUUCCUGAGUUACAGUUUUCUUUUUCCAGGUUUAUCCUUUCCCUCUCUCGCCAUGACUCCAGCACAAAAAACCCACAAGGCUUCAAGUGAUUCACCCCAAGUGUCCAGGCAAGCAGUAUUAGAAAAAGGCAGUCAUGAGCUACUACAUGCCAUUUUGAUAAAGGAGGCUACAAUUCAUGAAGAGACAGAUGUGGAAAAAAAGAGGAAAGAGUGGUGUAAUCAUAAGAGGCCAUUUGUGGACAUUACUAAAUCUGAGGAACUGAUGCAAUACCUGCAGCUAAACAAGGAAAGACAAGUAGCAGAACAUCAACUCUCUGGAGAAAUGAGCCAGUGAUUAAAGCUCAGAGGAAACAGCAAUCAAAAAACAUUUGGACUUUGGCAGUUCAUAGCACUGAAAAACUCACAUUCCUUUUUUUCUCUCACAGUUUUUGUUUGGUGAGUACUGCCUGGUAAGUAAUUCUGCUUAGUUAUUCUGAUAGUAGAGCUAUUGGUAUAUUUCAAGUCACUAAAAUGCAACAAUCUUUUAUUUUAAGAUUCUAAAUAUUCUGGACUACCCAUCCCUGAAUUCUUUAUCAUUGUUCAUGAUAUCUGGGACUUCUGGAAGAUGAGAUCCAACAAACAUCUGAUCACAACCAUCGUAGACUGUUUCUUAGAAAUAAUGAAUUAUAGCCAUCCAUGCUUUUUUGCUGAAGGAACUGCUGUGGUACAUGGAGAGGAGGCAGGGUGAUCCACCCUCCCAAAUGCAGUCCUCAGGGGAGAUGUUGUGGUGGGGGACAGAGAGAAAGGAAGUGAAAAGAAAGAGAGAAGAACACUGGAAUAUGUGUAAUAUGGCAAAACAAAAUAUGUUUGUCUUUCAUGUGACAAUAUUACCAUACAGAUCUUUUUGUCUAACAUGCUCAUGCGUCUUCUGAAUGUACACCAACAUAAUGAAAUCUAAGACUUGCCAUGUUCUUCCCCUCCCCCCAAAAUACCCCACUUCUACAGAUUAUUAUAUAUUUCAGAUAACACAUAAAUAUUUUCCAUAGAAAUAUACACAAGAUAAUGUAAUAGAUCAUCACUAAUUAUAAUAUCUGGUUAUUCUAAAUACUAAUGUGAAAAUAGAAGAAAAUGAUAUUGAAUUUUUUAAAGCUUUUAUUUUUACCUUUUAUUUUAUGCAUGAUGAGAUGGACUUGCCAUUAUUUAAACUGUUAUCACUUUUUGGUAUAAGAAAUAUUAUUCUCUUGUGAAUUCUCUCUUCCUAAUACAUGAAAUCCAACAUUACAUGUGCUGUUAUAUUACAUUUACCCUCUCUGUUGGAUGACAUUUGCAUAAAAAGGAAUCAUGUUGUUGUA